UGGACUCAAGACUUCAGAAAUGCUGAUCCUUACCUAGUAAGUCCUAUGUGUGACUUUCUUCCCAAUUUGGGGGAUAUCAUAUGUGUUUUAAACAUAUCAAAUAUAUAAUGGAUGUGUGCUUUUGCUUUUCUUAGAUUAACUGUAGAUUAAAUUCAACCGUGAAACAAACCAUGCAGGGAGUAAAGAAGAAUUCUUUAAAUGCCUGGCUCAUGCAUCCAGAAAAUAAAGUUAUGGAUGCCUCUUUAGUUCCCUCUGACAGCGCUGACAAGAGGUGCGUGAUGUGGGUGGUGAAAAAGUAUUGGGAGUGUUGAUGGCCAAGGAAGGUUUCUUUUCAUAAAAGACUGGAUAUUCUUAUAAGUAACUUUAUUUAGGGGUCUAGAUGGGAAAAAAGAGAUCAUAAGUGGGAGAAUCCUUACUCACAGUCUUGUUUGUGACCCUGAUUCACUAGUAGCCAAAACUCCUGGGAAACUAUAAGAGUGUGUGUGAG
ensembl:lncRNA